CCUUCGGGUUGUAAAGCACUUUCAGUCGUGAGGAAGGCGGGUACGUUAAUAGCGUAUUCGUUUGACGUUAGCGACAGAAGAAAGCACCGGCUAACUCCGUGCCAGCAGCCGCGGUAAUACGGAGGGUGCGAGCGUUAAUCGGAAUUACUGGGCGUAAAGCGCAUGCAGGUGGUUUGUUAAGUCAGAUGUGAAAGCCCGGGGCUCAACCUCGGAAUAGCAUUUAGUAAACUGGCAGACUAGAGUACUGUAGAGGGGGGUAGGAAUUUCAGGUGUAGCGGUGAAAUGCGUAGAGAUCUGAAGGAAUACCGGUGGCGAAGGCGGCCCCCUGGACAGAUACUGACACUCAGAUGCGAAAGCGUGGGGAGCAAACAGGAUUAGAUACCCUGGUAG
rnacentral:rRNA from 1 species